CACUGCUCUAACCUACCUAUCUAGCCAAAACCUAACACCUAACACCGUGGGGUGGGACGCUGAGUGAUGCGGCACCAAAGUACUUCUCGCUAACUCAGUCUCAAAAGGUUCUUCACUUACUGACCAAACGUCACUGAAGAUUCAGUUUAUGAUUGGCUGAUUUAUGCGGCUAAUCUGAAUCCAACCAAUCAACAUCACGGAAAUCCUAGCGGUUUGUACACUACGGCCAAGUACAUGUCAAUGCACGUUAGGCCUAGGGGUGACUGAUUUAAUUUGAAACAUGGUUCUUCCUUCUAAGCGCCCAAUGUCAGCAUAUGCCUGUUUCUUAAAGAGAUUCCAUAAUCAGUUAAAGAAAAAGGGAGAGCUGACAACAUUCUUAGAGUUCACCCGAAGAGCUCGAGAUAAAUGGAGGACCAUGACUCCAAGGGAAAAAAAAAAAAAAUAUUAAAAUAUCAGAGAAAGACAGAGAUCGUUAUAAAUUGGAGAAAAGGGGGAGACAACGGGGAAAUGAAAAUGCCCCAAAGAGACCUAUCAUUCUUUCAUUAUAUCAAAGAGAAGGGAAUCCAUUUUAAAAAACAACAUCCUCUAAUGCCCCAACACCAGAUUGUGCAAGCUUUAGCUUCUAAGUGGCGCAGUCUUAAAGAGAAGCUACCGUAUGAGGUUAUGGCUGUACAAGAUAGAGGGAGAUACUAUAAGGAAAUGGCGAUUUUUAACAAGAAAGAACUUGUAAGAGCUAAAAAGGCCGAACCAGCAGCAACAUCUAGAAAAACCUCUUCAGAACAAGAAGACUCUGAUGACAGUGAUAAUGAUGAUUUCCCUUAAUUCAAAGCAUCAAGGAAAAAGAGAAGGAUCCAAGACCUUUAAUGAAGGAUGGGUAUAAUUUUGGUGGAGACAUUUGCUAAGAUAUUAUUAACUGAACCUAAAGUUUUUUAACAAGUAUAUUUAUGGGACCAUUUGUGGAUGUGAUAUUUGCUGUUGCAGCUCAAAUAUUGUGGAGAACUUUAGGUCAAAUAAAAGUGAUAAGCAUUCCUCCUGUUGCAGAUAUUUGUUGGGGUUUUUUGUUGUAAUGGGUUUUUUUUUUAAAAAAAAUGAAAGCUGAAAGGUGAUGAGAGGAAAUAUAUUUGAUGUAGUUCACGGUAAAAGUUGAGAAAGGAGUGUGUAGCGUGAAGCAGAUGACAAUGAAUUUACAAAAACAAUUUUUAUCAUGUACUGAUCUUGAUGAUGCACUAUGACAUUGCAAAUGGCUCUUAUACCAUGAUAAAGUAUUAUGCAGACUUUGCAAUCCGAAAAUUCAUAAACAGUAACUUAUAGAAUGUUGAAACUUACAAAUAAAUUCAUAUUGCUCUGUACAUCUCUGGGUAAAGGGAAAGUAAGGAGGGAGUUGGCAUUGAACUUAUAACACUUAUGCUUAUAUCUUUGUGUUCCAUCUUUCAUGACCAGUAAUUCAUCAGUUGUUGCUGCACUUUCUCACUUUGUAAUGACAAAUUUCAUCAUGAUUAACAAAAUGUUAUUGUCUGUUUUUUGUGUGGGGAGAGAUGUGACUAAGAAUCUCAUUGUUGAACUAUUCCUUAGUCAAAUUCUCAGCAUCAUUUGCAAAAGCAAAUUAUGUACAGUGUAUAGAGAGCAGGAUAAUGAUAGGUAUUCAAAAGAUACAUUUUGUUAUGAGUAUCGGAUGCCUUUGAAUGUUAUUUAGGAUGUUUUAGAUUGUUCAUAAAUGUAACUGAAGCAUAACAUAAACAGGUAUCAAUUCCAGAAUAAUAAUUUUUAUACCAUUUUGACAUGUAAAGACUUUCAAAACUAAGUCAUUCUGGCUUUGAAAAUUGACUCACAUUGUUGGAAGCUUUCAACUGUGUUUUCAGGCAGUGCAAAAUUUGUAUAUGGAUACAGCUACGUACUCUUAUUAGGAUGGUAAUGAAAUCAGAAGUUUCUUGAGGAUUUGCCCACAUCAGAACACACAUGAACCACUUUGAUAGUCAACCCCAUGCUGAGCCAGAGGGUCAAAAUCCAUCAAGGUCACAGUUUUUGGCAAAGCAUGCUAUCAGGACACAAAAGCCAAGGGCUUCUUCCAAACCUUCAUCUUGACAUCACAAGGAAAUGUGUGGAAAAUAGUUGGUGACACAUAUCCUUUCCUUGAAGCUUGAUCAUUGUCAUGUUGAACUGGAUCUGUAUUUAUGUGGUGAAGAAUUUAACACACUGGUAUUAAGUGUUACAAGUGUCUCACAGAAGAUGUGAAAGUGGAAAUAAAAUUUAUUUUUCAUGUGGUGAUCUUUCACUUCAAAUAUUGACUUGUGAAACUAGAUGGCAAUGAAAAGAUACCAGUUGAUACAGAUAUAAAGCUCAUAAACCAAAUGAAGAAAAUCAAAGCUGGGAGUAUUUUGUUGCUUUUAUUUCUAAAAGCAUAGCUGUGCUUAAUGAAUGAAACAACGAAAAUAGCCAUUGAACUCUCAAGUUUUCAACUGUUCAAGCAUUUUAGGAAUUAUAAGAAACAGAAAUAACACUUUUAAAUGACAAUAAAUAAUAGCUAUUCAUUUUA
rnacentral:lncRNA from 1 species